UCUGGCGAUAAUGGCGAAGAGGUCACACCCGUUCCCAUCCCGAACACGGAAGUUAAGCUCUUCAGCGCCGAUGGUAGUCGGGGGCUUCCCCCUGCAAGAGUAGGACGUCGCCGGGC
rnacentral:rRNA from 1 species